GACGUAGGGGGCAAGCGUUGUUCGGAAUUACUGGGCGUAAAGGGCGCGUAGGCGGUUUGUUAAGUUGGUUGUGAAAACUCUGGGCUUAACCCAGAGCCUGCAUCCAAAACUAGCAAGCUAGAGUUCUGGAGGGGAUAGCGGAAUUCCUGGUGUAGCGGUGAAAUGCGUAGAUAUCAGGAGGAACACCGGUGGCGAAGGCGGCUAUCUGGACAGAAACUGACGCUGAGGUGCGAAAGCGUGGGGAGCAAACAGG
rnacentral:rRNA from 1 species